UACGUAGGGUGCAAGCGUUAAUCGGAAUUACUGGGCGUAAAGCGUGCGCAGGCGGUUUUGUAAGUCUGUCGUGAAAUCCCCGGGCUCAACCUGGGAAUUGCGAUGGAGACUGCAAGGCUAGAAUCUGGUAGAGGGGGGUAGAAUUCCACGUGUAGCAGUGAAAUGCGUAGAGAUGUGGAGGAACACCGAUGGCGAAGGCAGCCCCCUGGGCUGACACUGACGCUCAGGCACGAAAGCGUGGGGAGCAAACAGG
rnacentral:rRNA from 1 species